GACGAACGCUGGCGGCGUGCUUAACACAUGCAAGUCGAACGGAAAGGCCCUGCUUUUGUGGGGUGCUCGAGUGGCGAACGGGUGAGUAACACGUGAGUAACCUGCCCUUGACUUUGGGAUAACUUCAGGAAACUGGGGCUAAUACCGGAUAGGAGCUCCUGCUGCAUGGUGGGGGUUGGACAGUUUCGGCGGUUGGGGAUGGACUCGCGGCUUAUCAGCUUGUUGGUGGGGUAGUGGCUUACCAAGGCUUUGACGGGUAGCCGGCCUGAGAGGGUGACCGGCCACAUUGGGACUGAGAUACGGCCCAGACUCAUACGGGAGGCAGCAGUGGGGAAUAUUGCACAAUGGGCGGAAGCCUGAUGCAGCAACGCCGCGUGCGGGAUGACGGCCUUCGGGUUGUAAACCGCUUUCGCCUGUGACGAAGCGUGAGUGACGGUAAUGGGUAAAGAAGCACCGGCUAACUACGUG
rnacentral:rRNA from 1 species